CCUACGGGAGGCAGCAGUGGGGAAUAUUGGACAAUGGGCGAAAGCCUGAUCCAGCAAUGCCGCGUGAGUGAUGAAGGCCUUAGGGUUGUAAAGCUCUUUUACCAGGGAUGAUAAUGACAGUACCUGGAGAAUAAGCUCCGGCUAACUCCGUGCCAGCAGCCGCGGUAAUACGGAGGGAGCUAGCGUUGUUCGGAAUUACUGGGCGUAAAGCGUGCGUAGGCGGUGAUUCAAGUCAGAGGUGAAAGCCUGGAGCUCAACUCCAGAACGGCCUUUGAAACUAGAUCGCUAGAAUUAUGGAGAGGUAAGUGGAAUUCCGAGUGUAGAGGUGAAAUUCGUAGAUAUUCGGAAGAACACCAGUGGCGAAGGCGACUUACUGGACAUAUAUUGACGCUGAGGUACGAAAGCGUGGGGAGCAAACAGGAUUAGAUACCCUGGUAGUCCACGCCGUAAACGAUGAUAACUAGCUGUUCGGGCUCUCAGAGCUUGAGUGGCGCAGCUAACGCAUUAAGUUAUCCGCCUGGGGAGUACGGUCGCAAGAUUAAAACUCGAAAAGUAGUAGUAGACGNGUAGAGUAGCGACGAGGACACGACGGAGGUUAGG
rnacentral:rRNA from 1 species